ACGCUGGCGGCGUGCUUAACACAUGCAAGUCGAACGAGAAUCAAUGGAUAGAGGAUUCGUCCAAUUGAAGUUGAGGAAAGUGGCGGACGGGUGAGUAACGCGUGAGGAACCUGCCUUUCAGAGGGGGACAACAGUUGGAAACGACUGCUAAUACCGCAUGAAGCAUUUGAUUCGCAUGUAUUGAAUGCCAAAGAUUUUAUCGCACAUAGAUGGACUCGCGUCUGAUUAGCUAGUUGGUGGGGUAACGGCCUACCAAGGCGACGAUCAGUAGCCGGACUGAGAGGUUGAUCGGCCACAUUGGGACUGAGACACGGCCCAGACUCCUACGGGAGGCAGCAGUGGGGAAUAUUGCACAAUGGGGGAAACCCUGAUGCAGCGACGCCGCGUGAGGGAAGAAGGUAUUCGUAUUGUAAACCUCUGUCUUCGGGGACGAUAAUGACGGUACCCGAGGAGGAAGCACCGGCUAACUACGUG
rnacentral:rRNA from 1 species